GAUAACGUAACUUAAACUGGUAGUGAGCAGUAUGCACACUUAAGUUGAGAGUUUGUAUGACAUUUUUAUCUUGUAGGGAGCUAAUGUAAGGAAUAAGGCGUUUUAACGUGAACACUAAAGGUUUUUCAAAACAGUGUGUUAAUCAUAGGAACGUAUUGUAAACAAACUGAAAAUGUGGCGGCCUUAUGCGUUUGUUAUUUUCCAUCUUUUUCUCGUAAUAUGUCGAAGCAAUUUUGUGGCUGCCAAACGCAAUGAGACGUUACUCGAAUGUGCCUCUGAUGCAGAUAUAACAUUCGGAUAUAUCAGCAGUGUAUCUAACACGUCAAUAUCGAUUGCAGAAUGCGACAAGACAAUUAAAGCAUGCUUUUUGAAACCGUCUCUAGACAACAAGUACCACCUGUCCUAUACUGAUCAUGGUGGAAUUUUGCAUAUAAAAAAUCAAGACGAAUUUUUAUCCGGAACGUAUACAUGUUAUAAGACGUAUUCGCCUAGCAAUUUUGUCAGAAUGGGAAUUAUUGUUAAUUCUUGUGCUGAUUUAGAUAAAGCAACGGAUUAUACCGACAUUAUACAUGUAGUGCGCGUAACAACCAUUGAAAGGUCCAUAGUGUACCCACUUAUUGUCGUACUCAUGCUCCUCCUAUGCACUUUACUUGCAAUUGAAUAUAGAAAAAUGAAAAACCUCAAGGAUUUAAUGGAAAUGAAGAAUACAUCAGAUAACCUACUAACAGAUCGUCCAAGAAAGGAAGAAGACGACAUACACGAACCUGGGUGUGGAUAUACCGAGGAAGCAGAGACGAAUAAGUAACAGGCUGCAGAUACGAAAAGAACUUGCUGAACCUGGGAACGUCAAGAGCAUAGCUUUAAAGGUAGAGAUAGUCAAACUUCUCAAAGAUGCUGAAAAGAAAUUAUAAUCUUCUAAAACAGCGACGGAUACUUUCUUGCAACAAGUCAAAAUGACCCUUAAAGAGUUAAAAGAUGCCAAUAUCUGGUUAAGAAUUGUGUCUCCAUCCCACCGAUGAUGGCAAUCAUUUCAAAAUUGUGGUCGAAAUAGGACAAAGCAUCCAUGUAAUGAUCAUAGCCGUCCACAAUAACCUAAAAGGUACAUGCACUUUAUCUUCUAUUUUGAUGAAUCAACCGAUAAAUCAUAUUCUAUUACACAAAUGUAUUGUUUACAUAUGUUGUAUUACUUGAAAACGACAUGAUAGAUCUAUUUUAAUUAAAAUUCACACCCAACAGUAAAUAGAGAAGUUUAAAUUACUAUUAAGAGUACGGUAAAAGAAUUACAGUACUGUAUAAGAAAUGUAUAUAUUUUGUAAAACCUCUUUAAUAUGAACGAUAUUUAGAUUUACUCUCUAAACGUCUAAGUUUAUUUUGUACGUGUAUGAUUGAGAGUUUGUUUACAACAUUCCACGUAACGAACAUGAUAGUUUAUGUAUUAAUGACUUUUAUUUAGAAGACGAAAAUCAUUUUUCAUGUAAAUGCCGCUAUUACAGUGAUUAAAGAAAAAUGUAUAUAAUUCGUUUGAUUUAAAUUAAAGCGGGACUGGACGAUUUUUAUAUGUGUUAACUUGUAAUAUACCGAUAAAAAUAUGUUACAAUAACACAAAAUAGGCAAGAAAAAUUAUACAUUGAAGACAAAUUUCAUAAAAUGCAGCAAAGACAAAUUAGCGCCCCGAGCCGAUUAUGACGAAGAUAUGUCGUACAUAUUUUCCUACAAUAACCAAAGCAUUCGUCUUUUUAUUAGGAUCGGACUUAGUGUUCGCGUGUCGUAUUGAUAGAUAUCGUUGCAGGAAAUUAAAAUGAUCCGUAAAACUAAAUUUAGAUUCACAUCGUACUAGCAUGAUAUACAUGCUGGCGAAUUUGACUGUACAGACAUUUUUGAUUUCAGAAUUAAAUAUCUGGCUUAUUUCGCACUUUUCGACACAUUUCGCACUUUUCGACACAUGUUCUUCUUAACUUUUAAUUUAAUCUAUAUUGAAAUAUAUGUAUAAUAAGUUUUUUUUUUUACACAUUUUAUAUAAAUUCAAAAAUAUUUGACAAAAUCGUGCAGUCUCACUUUACCCCUUUUGUAAAUAAAUUCCACUAUUUUUUAUUUCAUGUGAUAGAAAAGUUAUCUUUAAUGUAUGCAGUUGGGAAUGCAAUCUGACAUGUAUAUAAUACUGUUUAAUAGAUGUCAUCACCCAUCGACCAUCUUACAUGUUCUUGUCAUUUAUUUCGUUUACUUUGUAUUUGCAUUUGUAAUAAACUGUUUAUGCUUUAUUAUAAUGUUUCGCUAAUUUUUACAAGAUUUGUGUAUUUUAAUAUUGCGUACUGAUGUAAAUAACUCUUCAUCACUAUUUUUUGUUCAAGGAAAGUUUUAAAAAGAUUUGGGAAUUUUAAAUUGGCGCACUGAUGUAAAUAACUCUUCAUCACUAUUUUUGUUCAAGGAAUUGAGACCCAUUUUUGAAAGAUCCAUUUAUUAAGACAAAAUUGAAAAUUCGAAUAUUAGAAACAUAAUAACAAAAUUGAGAUUUGCUUCUCAUGUUCUAUUUAUAGAAACUAGUAGGUACCAACAUAUUCAAAAAAAUGAAAGAACAUGUAAAUUUUGUACACUAAAUGAAAUUAAAGAUGAGUACCAUUUUGUUCUAAUAUGUCCGUUAUAUGAUAAUAUAAGAAAUACACAUGUGUCUCUAGAUGUUCGUACCAGAUUUUAUAAAUUCGUUAUAAGGAACACUCCAUCACGGGUCAAACGAAUCAUGACAUUAAUAACAAAUGAUUAUUUUCAAUGUUUUAAUUGUGAAUGAUUAAUUUAUUCUGUGUAUUAUGAAAUAUAC